CAAUAGUGUAUAUUAAAGUUGUUGCAGUUAAAAGCUCGUAGUUGGAUUUCAAGAAACGCAUCUGGGUCACCAGUAUGCUUUCUACCAGUCUCUGACUGUUACUGUGAGAAAAUUAGAGUGUUUCAAGCAGGCAAUUGCAGGAAUACAUUAGCAUGGAAUAACGAAUGGGUCUACAAUUUGGUUGAUUGUAGAUUGCGAUUAAUAGGGACAGUUGGGGGCGAUUAGUAUUUAAUUUAGUCAGAGGUGAAAUUACUUGGAUUAGUUAAAGUAACUAACGUAUGCGAAAGACAUUUGUCCAACGGAAUGUUUUCUAUUAAUUCAAGAACGAAAGAAUUGGGGAGUCAAAGAAUGAUCAGAUACCGU
rnacentral:rRNA from 1 species